CCUACGGGGCGCAGCAGUGAGGAAUAUUGGUCAAUGGGCGGGAGCCUGAACCAGCCAAGCCGCGUGAGGGAAGAAGGUACAGCGUAUCGUAAACCUCUUUUGUCAGGGAACAAAGGCGGGGACUAGUCCCCGGCUGAGGGUACCUGAGGAAAAAGCAUCGGCUAACUCCGUGCCAGCAGCCGCGGUAAUACGGAGGAUGCGAGCGUUAUCCGGUUUUAUUGGGUUUAAGGGGUGCGCAGGCGGCCUGUUAAGUCAGCGGUAAAAGCCCGGGGCUCAACCCCGGCGAGCCGUUGAAACUGGCGGGCUGGAGUGGGAGAGAAGUACGCGGAAUGCGCGGUGUAGCGGUGAAAUGCUUAGAUAUCGCGCAGAACCCCGAUUGCGAAGGCAGCGUACCGGCUCCACACUGACGCUGAGGCACGAAAGCGUGGGUAUCGAACAGGAUUAGAUACCCGAGUAGUC
rnacentral:rRNA from 1 species